UGGGGAAUAUUGCACAAUGGGGGAAACCCUGAUGCAGCGACGCCGCGUGAACGAAGAAGGUAUUCGUAUCGUAAAGUUCUGUCCUAUGGGAAGAUGAUGACAGUACCAUAGAACAAAGCUCCGGCUAAAUACGUGCCAGCAGCCGCGGUAAUACGUAUGGAGAGAGCGUUGUCCGGAAGUAUUGGGCGUAAAGGGUACGCAGGCGGUUUAAUAAGUCGAAUGUGUAAGAUCGGGGCUCAACCCCGUAAAGCAUUGGAAACUGAUAAACUUGAGUAGUGUAGAGGAAAGUGGAAUUCCUAGUGUAGUGGUGAAAUACGUAGAUAUUAGGAGGAAUACCAGUAGCGAAGGCGACUUUCUGGACACAAACUGACGCUGCGGUACGAAAGCGUGGGGAGCAAACAAG
rnacentral:rRNA from 1 species